UUUGGUUUGUCAUUUUGUGAUACGGAUGCAAAGAUAAUGCCAUUUGAUGGUCUGUGCAACUAAAAAAUCUUUUUUAACCAAUUGGCUCGCGAAUGCUUUUGCGCUGUCUGUCUUUCUGUCAGAGUGGCGAAUCGGUUUUUCGUUUGUCCUCUUUUUUCUCCUGUUAUUUGCAUUUUCCUCC
rnacentral:rRNA from 1 species